GGAGAGGAAUGGCGGCGGCGCCCGGCCGGGCCGGGGCCGUGAGGGGCGGCGCUGCCAGCCCUCGGUCAUCGCGCCACACACGCUGCACCCGUUCGGUUUAUAUCGCUCCUGCAGGGGUUAUACAUAUUCACCCCGCUUCCCGGGACUCCAGACCGUAUUGCCCCAGCCAGCCCGCGUGUGCGUUGCGCUGCUGAGGGUCUCUGGCGGCGGUCCUUGGGCGUAGACACCCCUGACAGUGUCUUCGUGGCUGUUCUCUGGAUGAACUCUUUAGUUUUUUUUCCUUUUUGAGCAACUUCUUGUGGGUCGAGAGACUCGGAUCACUCGUGCUUCAGUCCUCACGGUGUUCCUGUUUUAGAAGCUUAUUUUUGCUCUGCCACAGCCAAAACCUUCUCUUCUGGGACUGAGCAGAUUCUAGCUAGAAGGAUCAAAAAGGGGCUGAGGAUUUUAGUCACAUCAGCAGGUAAUUGAGCUGGUCUUUACCAGUGAAAUAAGGUCAGGUUGGCAACAAGGAAGGAAAAAGCCAUUACCAGAACUCAGAAGUCUUCCUCCAACAGAAGUGAAAAGUCUGACAACUGGAGAGUAAAAAGGGAGGAUGCAUGAAACAAGGAGUCAAUGGACAGCAAUGGGAACAGGGGAAGGAAAGUACUUGGAGAGCACAGGCAAAAGAACAGGUUCACUGAAUGCCUAUGUGAUGUGCAGAGGCUGGCAGGAAGGGUAACAAAUGGAGUGCCAUGGAAAGGCUGGAGCAGACACUACACUGGGAAACAGUUCUUCCAUCAACUCUCAAACUACAGCUUUUAUCAAGACUGGAAUCCAACCUACCUAUCAAGAGGUUUUAUGUUGUGCUUCAAAAGAAAAAGCACAUCUUAUCAGAUGCCAUCAAGGUCCAAGAGCUGGCUUGAAUGCUGAAGGAGCCCAAAUCUUCCCCUCUCACCCAGAGAGCUGUGAAACCUCAGGGUGACUCAGCACUUGGGCACACUCAGCAGCAUCUGCUCCUCCUCGAUGUUCUCAGGGAGAAAGUGAAAUGAAGGAACACAGGCGAGAAACAGGAAGAGUGGAAGAAACAAGGAGUGUACUCAGCCUGAGCCAUCUGAACAGUGAGUGAGGAGUCAGGCACAGUGAGCUGGUGCCAUGCACAGAAUCCCAGAGUGCUGGGGGUUAGAAGGGCCCUGCAGAGCUCCUCCAGCCCAAUCCCCAGCUGAAGCAGGUUCCCCUCGCUCGGGGCACAGGAACGUGUCCAGGAAGUUUUUCCUUGUGUUUGGAACCUCUUCUGUUCCAGCUUGUGCCCGUUGCCCCUUGUCCUGUCAUUGGCAUCCCUGAGCACAGCCUGGCUCCAGCCUCCUCACACCCACCCUUGAUGCAUUUGCAACAUGAAUGAGCUCACCCCUCAGUCUCUUCUCCAAGCUGCAGAGCCCCAGCUCCCUCAGCCUUUCAUCACAAGGCAGAUGCUCCACUCCAGCAUCUCUGUGGCCCUGCACUGAACUCUCUCCAGCAGCUCCCUGUCCUUCUGCAACUGAGAGGCCCAGGACUGAACACAAUAUCCCAGAUGUGGUCUCAUGAGGGCAGAGUGGGAGGAGAUGGGGGCAGAGGGGGAGCAGAACCUCUCUGACCUACUGCCCACAGCCCUUCUAACCCACCCCAGGAUGCCACUGGUUGCCCACGAGAGCACAUUGCUAGGGUUUCUCACCCUUUCCCUGCUUCACCUGGUUUACAUAAACACUGACAGGCAAAUUAAAAAGCUGCUUUGGUUCCUGCCAGUCCCUUUCCCCAC